GAUGAAGAACGCAGUGAAAUGCGAUAAGUAAUGUGAAUUGCAGAAUUCAGUGAAUCAUCGAAUCUUUGAACGCACCUUGCACCCUUUGGCAUUCCGAAGGGUAUGCUCGUUUGAGUGUCAUUGUACUCUCACACUUCUGAUCCUUUGGAUUGGGAGCGGUGGACUUGGGUGUUGCUGCUUUACUGUGGCUCACCUCAAAUGCAUUCGUGCAACUCUUGGUUGGACAUAGUACGGCGUGAUAAGUAUCUUCGCCGGCACCUCGCAAGAGGGUGGCUGAUCAGGAGCUCUGUGCUUUCCAACUGUCUUCAGACAACAACUGACAACUUGACCUCAAAUCGAGUAGGACCACCCGCUGAACUUAAGCAUAUCAAUAAGGGAGGA
rnacentral:misc_RNA from 1 species